rnacentral:rRNA from 1 species
AUGAACGCUAGCGGCAGGCCUAACACAUGCAAGUCGAGGGGCAUCACGAGGUAGCAAUACUUUGGUGGCGACCGGCGCACGGGUGCGUAACGCGUAUGUAACCUACCUAUAACAGGGGCAUAACACUGAGAAAUUGGUACUAAUUCCCCAUAAUAUUCGGAGAGGCAUCUCUCCGGGUUGAAAACUCCGGUGGUUAUAGAUGGACAUGCGUUGUAUUAGCUAGUUGGUGAGGUAACGGCUCACCAAGGCAACGAUACAUAGGGGGACUGAGAGGUUAACCCCCCACACUGGUACUGAGACACGGACCAGACUCCUACGGGAGGCAGCAGUGAGGAAUAUUGGUCAAUGGACGCAAGUCUGAACCAGCCAUGCCGCGUGCAGGAAGACGGCUCUAUGAGUUGUAAACUGCUUUUGUACGAGGGUAAACUCACCUACGUGUAGGUGACUGAAAGUAUCGUACGAAUAAGGAUCGGCUAACUCCGUGCCAGCAGCCGCGGUAAUACGGAGGAUUCAAGCGUUAUCCGGAUUUAUUGGGUUUAAAGGGUGCGUAGGCGGUUUGAUAAGUUAGAGGUGAAAUCCCGGGGCUUAACUCCGGAACUGCCUCUAAUACUGUUAGACUAGAGAGUAGUUGCGGUAGGCGGAAUGUAUGGUGUAGCGGUGAAAUGCUUAGAGAUCAUACAGAACACCGAUUGCGAAGGCAGCUUACCAAACUAUAUCUGACGUUGAGGCACGAAAGCGUGGGGAGCAAACAGGAUUAGAUACCCUGGUAGUCCACGCAGUAACGAUGAUAACUCGUUGUCGGCGAUACACAGUCGGUGACUAAGCGAAAGCGAUAAGUUAUCCACCUGGGGAGUACGUUCGCAAGAAUGAAACUCAAAGGAAUUGACGGGGGCCCGCACAAGCGGAGGAACAUGUGGUUUAAUUCGAUGAUACGCGAGGAACCUUACCCGGGCUUAAAUUGCAACUGACGGAAUCGGAAACGGUUCUUUCUUUGGACAGUUGUGAAGGUGCUGCAUGGUUGUCGUCAGCUCGUGCCGUGAGGUGUCGGGUUAAGUCCCAUAACGAGCGCAACCCCUACCGUUAGUUGCCAUCAGGUCAAGCUGGGCACUCUGGCGGGACUGCCGGUGUAAGCCGAGAGGAAGGUGGGGAUGACGUCAAAUCAGCACGGCCCUUACGUCCGGGGCUACACACGUGUUACAAUGGUAGGUACAGAGGGUCGCUACCCCGCGAGGGGAUGCCAAUCUCGAAAGCCUAUCUCAGUUCGGAUUGGAGGCUGAAACCCGCCUCCAUGAAGUUGGAUUCGCUAGUAAUCGCGCAUCAGCCAUGGCGCGGUGAAUACGUUCCCGGGCCUUGUACACACCGCCCGUCAAGCCAUGGAAGCUGGGGGUGCCUGAAGUUCGUGACCGCAAGGAGCGACCUAGGGCAAAACCGGUAACUGGGGCU